GGGCGCAUAGCUCAGUUGGCUAGAGCAUCUCGUUUACACCGAGAGGGUCAGGGGUUCGAGUCCCUUUGCGCCCACCA
rnacentral:tRNA from 5 species